UUUAUACGGGGCGCAGCCCGCGCGAAACUUUUCUAUAUCCGCAAAAGUGUUAAUGGGGAGACUCCCAGUUCGCACCUAGCACCUAAGCUUUAUCCUAUCCAUAAAACAGUUAUUAACAAGAGCGUGGGUAAGAAUGGUGCCAGCCGCCGCGGUAACACCAGCAACCCAAGUGGGGGCCGUUUUUAUUGGGUCUAAAGCUUCCUAGCCGCUGCGUAUGUUCCCGGGAAAUGUGGCGGCUCAACAGGAAGGGGGGCCGGGAAGAGGUUAGGCUUGGGACCGGGAGGCGCGAGAGGUAUGUCAGGGGUAGCGGUGAAAUCCUGAAUCCCGGGGGGGGGGGGCGGGGGGGGGGGGGGGGGGGGGGGGGGGGGGGGGGGGGGGGGGGGGGGGGGGGGGGGGGGGGGGGGGGGGGGGUGUCCCGCGCGUGUGAGGUGUGCGGGGGGCGCGCGAGCGCAGGGAUAACCCCGAGCGCACCGAGACUCGCGUGCGCGCG
rnacentral:rRNA from 2 species